rnacentral:rRNA from 1 species
GACGAACGCUGGCGGCGUGCUUAACACAUGCAAGUCGAACGGAAAGGCCCCUUCGGGGGUACUCGAGUGGCUAACAGGUGGGUAACACGUGAGUAACCUGCCCUUGACUUCGUGAUAACUUCAUGAAACUGGGGCUAAUUCCGGCUAGGAAUCCUUGCUGCAUGGUGGGUGGUGGAAAGCUUCGGGGGUUUGGGAUGGACCCGCGGCCUAUCAGCUUGUUGGUGGGGUAGUGGGUUACCUAGGCUUUGACGGGUAGCCGGCCGGGGAGGGGGAACGGCCAAAUUGGGAAUGGGGAUCCGGCCAGGAUUCUAACGGGGGCAAGAAGGGGGAAUAAUGGAAAAUGGGGCGGAGGCUGGUGGAACAAACGCGGGUGGGGGAUGGAGGGCUUUGGGUUGUAAACCGGCUUCAGCAGGGGAGGAGGUGGUGGUGACGGUAACGGCAGAAGAAGCACCGGCUAACUACGUG